CACGUAGGGUCCGAGCGUUGUCCGGAAUUACUGGGCGUAAAGCGCGCGCAGGCGGUUAGUCGCAUCGGCGGUGAAAGCCCCCCCGCUUAACGGGGGAGGGUCCGUCGAGAUGGACUGACUGGAGGCAGGGAGAGGGCGGUGGAAUUCCGGGUGUAGUGGUGAAAUGCGUAGAGAUCCGGAGGAACACCAGUGGCGAAGGCGGCCGCCUGGACCUGACCUGACGCUGAGGCGCGAAGGCGCGGGGAGCGAACGGG
rnacentral:rRNA from 1 species